AUUGAACGCUGGCGGCAUGCCUUACACAUGCAAGUCGAACGGUAACAGGUUAAGCUGACGAGUGGCGAACGGGUGAGUAAUAUAUCGGAACGUGCCCAGGCGUGGGGGAUAACGUAGCGAAAGCUACGCUAAUACCGCAUACGAUCUAAGGAUGAAAGCGGGGGAUCGCAAGACCUCGCGCGAUUGGAGCGGCCGAUAUCAGAUUAGGUAGUUGGUGGGGUAAAGGCUCACCAAGCCAACGAUCUGUAGCUGGUCUGAGAGGACGACCAGCCACACUGGAACUGAGACACGGUCCAGACUCCUACGGGAGGCAGCAGUGGGGAAUUUUGGACAAUGGACGCAAGUCUGAUCCAGCCAUUCCGCGUGCAGGAUGAAGGCCCUCGGGUUGUAAACUGCUUUUGUACGGAACGAAAAGGUCUCUCUUAAUACGGGGGGCUCAUGACGGUACCGUAAGAAUAAGCACCGGCUAACUACGUGCCAGCCGCCGCCGUAA
rnacentral:rRNA from 1 species